GAACGGAAUCCGCAAGGAUUUAGUGGCGGGCGGGUGAGUAACGCGUGAGAAUCUGCCUUCAGGUCGGGGACAACAGCUGGAAACGGCUGCUAAGACCCGAUGUGCUUAAAAGUGAAAGGUUUACUGCCUGAAGAUAAGCUCGCGUCCGAUUAGCUAUUUGGUGGGGUAAUGGCCUACCAAGGCGUCGAUCGGUAACUGGUCUGAGAGGACGACCAGUCACACUGGGACUGAGACACGGGCCAGACAUCCUACGGGAGAGCAACAGUGGGGAAUUUUCCGCAAUGGGCGAAAGCCUGACGGAGCAAGAACGCGUGAGGGAUGAACGCUCUUGGGUUGUAAACCUCUUUUCUCAGGGAAGAAACCUGACGGUACCUGUAAGAAUAAGCAUCGGCUAACUCCGUGCCAGCAGCCGCGGUAAUACCGAGGAUGCAAGCGUUAUCCGGAAUUAUUGGGCGUAAAGCGUCGCAGGUGGCUGUCAAGUCUGCUGUCAAAGACCGGGGCUUAACCCUAGAAAGGCAGUGGAAACUGAGCGGCUAGAGUGCAGUAUGGGUAGAGGGAAUUCCCAGUGUAUCGGUGAAAUGCGUAUAGAUUGGGAAGAACACCGGUGGCGAAAGCGCUCUGCUGGACUGCAACUGACACUGAAGGACGAAAGCUAUGGGAGCGAAAAGGAUUAGAUACCCCUGUAGUCCUAACCGUAAACGAUGGAUACUAAGCGUUGCCGGGCUCCAACCUUGCAGUGUCCGAGCUUACGCGUUAAGUAUCCCGCGUGGGAAGUACGCACGCCAGUGUGAAACUCAAAGGAAUUGACAGGGGCCCGCACAAGCGGUGGAAUAUGUGGUUUAAUUCGAUGCAACGCGAAGAACCUUAACAAGGGCACGACAUGUCGCGCACCCCGCUUAAAAGUGGGGGUGCCUUCGGGAGCGCGAACACAGGUGGUGCAUGGCUGUCGUCAGCUCGUGUCGUGAGAUGGUGGGUUAAGUCCCGCAACGAGCGCAACCCUCGUUCUCAGUUGCCAUCAUUAAGUUGGGAACUCUUAAGAGACUGCCGGUGACAAACCGGAGGAAGGUGGGGAUGACGUCAAGUCAGCAUGCCCCAUACGUCGUGGGCAACACACGUACUACAAUGCUGCGGACAGAGGGUAGCAAGCCGGCGACGGCAAGCCAAUCCCGUAAACCGUGGCUCAGUUCAGGUCGAAGCUUGCAACUCAGCUUCGUGAAGGCGGAAUCGGUAGUAAUCGCAGGUCAGCAUACUGCGGUGAAUACGUUCCCGGGCCUUGUACACACCGCCCGUCACACCAUGGGAGCUGGUUUAGCCC
rnacentral:rRNA from 1 species